AUCUGUGUCAUUUGAUCAAUUCUUUUUUUCUCUUAUUCUCAGGUAAGCCUCUGAACAUCCCUUGCAAAGCAUUCUUUGGAUUUAGUGGAGAGUCGGGGCCAAUGAUCUACUGGAUGAAAGGGGAAAAGUUUAUUGAAGAACUGGCAGGUCACAUUAGAGAAGGUGAAAUAAGGCUUCUCAAAGAGCACCUUGGAGAAAAAGAAGUUGAACUGACACUCAUCUUUGAUUCAGUGGUGGAGGCUGACCUGGCUAAUUAUACCUGCCAUGUAGAAAACCGAAACGGACGGAAACACGCCAGUGUCCUUCUUCGUAAAAAGGACUUAAUCUACAAAAUUGAGCUUGCUGGAGGCCUGGGGGCAAUCUUCCUCCUCCUUAUACUCCUGGUGGUCAUCUAUAAAUGCUAUAACAUUGAACUGAUGCUCUUCUAUCGACAACACUUUGGAAGUGAUGAAACUGCUGCGGGUAAACUGUAUCCUAUUGUUCGAAUUAUAGGAAAAGAUUUUAGUUGUGAUUAUGUAAAAGAAAUGUCCUAUUCCUAGGAAAUACUUGCCGAAAUAUUUAGAAGGGAAGGGCCACGACAUAUACUACUUAAUCUUACAUUAUUUAAGAAAACAGUUUACUUAUCGAGAAAGAUUUUUAAAAAAGAAAAAUAUUAGCAAUAUGUGGAGUGGGUAAAGGAUGUGUGCAGUUUAUUGGAAUAGUUUUGUCCCCGUGAUGUUUCUUGACUUGAAAUUAUUUCCAAAUAAAAGUUAAUGAGGAGGCUUUACUUGAUCAGGA
rnacentral:lncRNA from 1 species